CAGGUCAACAAGAUAUUUGCUGAAAAUGCAUUUGAUGCUGUGAUGCACUUUGCUGCAGUUGCUUAUGUGGGUGAAAGCACACUGGAACCCGUUAGCUGUUUGAUAUAACGAGGGGACAAGUCAGGCAUGGCCAGCGACUGGUGGGAAAGCAUGCGACAAGUUAGACAUUGCCUGUCGACGCAACUUCGACUCCUACUUGGCAAGAGCUAUUUGGAGCGUUAUUCGGUUCGUUUGCAGUGAAUAGAACGCGAUGCAUUAUUGGAAAAGCAGCUGUGUCCGUAGAGAUAUCAUAUUUCGAACAUAUUUUUAUAAUUAUAUACUCAUACAUACCAUUAUGUACUAUCUUAUACAUACCAUUUACCUAUUUUUAUAAUUAUAUAUUUUUUUCAUGUUUCAAAUA